rnacentral:lncRNA from 1 species
GCGAAUUCUCCUGCUGCCGUGCCCAGAGAGUUUCGCACCGUCGAGCCGGAUCUCUUGUCGAUGACCACUCGAUAUUAGGCCCAAAAUGGAACCCAUGUGGAGUGUGGAUGCUUACCCAGCCCUGCAAUCGCCUGAUUGACCCCCUUAAUCACCGGAAUUGGUCGCCGGAGUAAACUCCCGCGGCUCCCCCCUCGGCCGCCUAUAAAUUAGAGCCCCCUCCUUUUCCCCGAUCAACCCAGCCACUCCCGCUCCUCUCCUCCUUCUCUAGGAGACUCGCCCAAGCCAUCGGAGGGGCUCGGAAGGGUCUUAUUCCCUGCCUCCGGCCACCUCGAUUCGUUUCGGGCGCCGGUAAAAUUGGACCUGGUGGAUGCGUCCCCGCAUCACAGUUCUUGCCACCGGACUACUAGAGCUCGACCCCUUCUGACCCGCGUGCGAUUUCGGUGAAUGCAGGCCUCUCCGACGGGAUCCCACUGCAACCGAAAAUGCCGCCCGUCGGAGUUGAAGCUAUUGUGGUCAUGCUGCCCGCGGGGUAUGGCUCCACCUCCAUCAGCUUUGGAAGCUCUUGGUGAGUGCACCCGCGUGUUCUUUUUCCUCUCGCUCGUCGCAGGACGCUGCCGGCGACACUCCGAGCUUCUGCUGCCGGUGAAGAAGAUUCGAACCUGACAGUGGAGGCUCACUAUCAGGAUUCUAUUCUUUUCAAAUCGUUUUUCUAAAAUGCCUUCCGCUAGAAGACGCGUUCUCUCCGGGUUUGCGUACUUUUAUCUGAGCGCUUUCUUUCUUUUCAGUCUGCCCCCUCGAUAGAUUCUGUUUUAUCACAGAAUAGUCCCUGGUUUCAUUUUACUUAUAACUUUUACACUAUAAAAGCUUUUUAAAUGAUUCUUUUUGCAACAUAUUUCUCUGAAGGUCUAGUUUAUUUUCAGAUUUAUUUAAAAAUUGUUUUGGAACAUUAGCUAGUCCUAGCUCUUACAAUGGUAUAUAUUGUAUGACGUAGAUUCCGACGAGGGAAACGCCGACAUUAACUUCACCCAGCUCGAUCCCGACUACAUGGAACCAGGCAAGCAUGUUUGAACUUUUGAUGUGUUGCUUGCUCACUAACUAAUUUAAUAUUCAUCCACAACAUUAAGUAAGCAUAUUGCAUUUUAAUCAAACAAAGUUAAUAUGUGGCUAUGACAAUUUAAGGUUGUGAGAGGCCCUGCAUAACCUAGUCACGUAAAACGUGAUAGGUUGUGGCCUUGUCAUGAAGAAUGCAUGACAGUAAUGGAAAUAAAGUGGAUAACUCCAGUAUUGACCUAGAUCAAGUCUUGUCAGUGUCUUACCUUUAUUAUCGUGCUGCUACAGUUUCCUCGAAAGGGGAUUCGAUAUAGUCGGUCGUAGGCCUAUUAUCAGUUACACACCAAGUAGAUGGGGCGGGAUGAAGGUAUCCAUGGCCCUGGACUAAAUCUAGUCAUCCGGUCAGAGGGUAUGGGUGUUUCCGUUCUGGGACCAAGAGGGAGGGCAUUCCCUUGUAGCUCGCGGUAUAAACUUGAUCCCAUGCUAGUCGAGGUCGGAGCCUCCCUGUCUUAUGGUUUUUCCCUGGCAGCGUAGUCCGGGUUAAGCCGGACUUCGCGAGGGUAAAAAUAGGUGUGUGCUGAUUCUGAGCGUCUACUUCUAAAAUAUCAUACACGGUAUUAGUCAAUGUGACUAUCGAACCCCGUGAGUUAUGGGUAAAGAGUACACCUCUGCAGAGUCAAAACUAUUCAAGUAGUCGUGUCCACGGUCAAGGACGGUUGGUUGACAUGUCAAGUGUCGGUCUUAGAGUCGGUCCCUCGAGCACAAGUGUGGUUUAAUGAUAAUGGUUGUGGACAUGUUAUGGUGUUGUGGGAAAACUUACUUGUUGGUAACCUGGUUCUAAGAUUAUUCCGAAGGUUGGUUGAACCACCCUGAUAAUCCUUUAAUUUAUUUUAUGCCCUUUCUCUGGAGUCGCUAAGACGCCCGACUGCGGCUUGUUAUUUAUUGUAUUCCCUUUCUUUGGUGUCGCUAAAAUGCCCGACUACGGCUUGUUAUUUAUUUUGUGCCUUUUCUGUGGUGUCCCUAAGACGCCCGACUGCGGCCUGUUAUUUAUUUUAUGCCUUUUAUGUGGUGUCGCUAAGAUGCUCGACUACGUCUUGUUAUUUAUUUUACGCCCUUUUGUGGUGUUUCUGAGACGCCCAACUGUGGCUUAUUAUUUAUUUGAUGCCAUGUAUGAGGUGUCGCUUAGACACCCGAUGGUGGCGAUUUACUUACCUGUUAACCUUUUGAGGCGUCGCUCCACACACCCGAUUGGUGCAUUUUAUUUUCUGUUUGGGUAUUUCGGCAGGAUUACCGCACAACUUAUCCACUAACUUAACUGCUGUUAAUGUCACUAUCAUGAUAAGUUAUGACCUGAAACCAUGCAUAUUAAAAUUUUGUUGCAUACAUCUCAUAUUUUGUGCAAAAUGUUUGCCAGUACUUAUCGAAGUACACACUCGCUUGUCGAUGUGGCCAGAUAUGGAUGAAGGAGACCUCAUGGAUGAAGAGUUAGAUAGCGAGUCCGAAGUCUAGAGGAGUCCCAGUCAGUCUUGCGAUCAUGGAGUCCGUCGCUGUAUUAUUUCACCGCUUCCGCCACCACGAAUAAAUCGUCAAACUCUCUCUAACGCUUGGCGUGUAGUAGUACUUGUCAUGUCACUUCAAUCUGAUGUGACAUGCCCUCUUUAUUAGGAGAGUAGAGUUAUCCUAUGAUCACAGUAAUAUAUCCGUCCGUGUGAGACUUUGGACAUGUUGUAAUAAUUUGUAGAGCGACCUCUGCUCUACUAUGUUUAAUAUUAAGUACUACUGGUUUUCUGUAUCAAGAGGAGUCUAUCAGUGGGAAAUAUUUUUCUACACUGGUGACAUUCAUGGAUGAUUUCCAACAAAUCAUUUUAUCUGGAAACCUGUCUUGACAG